UGGGUUGUAGCUCAGUGGUAAAGUGCUUGCCCAGCAUGCAUGAGGCACUGGGUUUGAUCCUCAGAAUGACAUAA
rnacentral:tRNA from 1 species